CAGAGUGACAGGUGGUGCAUGGUUGUCGUCAGCUCGUGUCGUGAGAUGUUGGGUUAAGUCCCGCAACGAGCGCAACCCUUGAUCUUAGUUGCCAUCAUUAAGUUGGGCACUCUAAGGUGACUGCCGGUGACAAACCGGAGGAAGGUGGGGAUGACGUCAAAUCAUCAUGCCCCUUAUGACCUGGGCUACACACGUGCUACAAUGGACGGUACAAAGAGCUGCAAGACCGC
rnacentral:rRNA from 1 species